UACGUAGGGUGCAAGCGUUAAUCGGAAUUACUGGGCGUAAAGCGUGCGCAGGCGGUUAUGCAAGACAGAUGUGAAAUCCCCGGGCUUAACCUGGGAACUGCAUUUGUGACUGCAUGGCUGGAGUGCGGCAGAGGGGGAUGGAAUUCCGCGUGUAGCAGUGAAAUGCGUAGAUAUGCGGAGGAACACCGAUGGCGAAGGCAGUCCCCUGGGCCUGCACUGACACUCAUGCACGAAAGCGUGGGGAGCAAACAGG
rnacentral:rRNA from 1 species